GGGGCUGUAGCUCAGCUGGGAGAGCGCCUGCAUGGCAUGCAGGAGGUCGUCGGUUCGAUCCCGAUCAGCUCCA
rnacentral:tRNA from 1 species